rnacentral:pre_miRNA from 1 species
AUGUAGGGUAAUCUGUCUUUAAGUAGAGGUGAAUUACUCUUCAAAAAUGAGUUCUAGAUAGUUUUCCCUUCAAGUCAAACAUCUUGU